rnacentral:rRNA from 1 species
UGCAGUCUGCAACCCGACUGCACGAAGCUGGAAUCGCUAGUAAUCGCGGAUCAGCAUGCCGCGGUGAAUACGUUCCCGGGUCUUGUACACACCGCCCGUCACACCAUGGGAGCCGGAAAUGCCCGAAGCCUGUGACCCAACCCGCAAGGGGGGAGCAGUCGAAGGCGGGGCCGGUGACUGGGGUGAAGUCGUAACAAGGUAUC